UUCAGGGUAAAGCACCACAGGAGUUGUAAAAAAAUGGCUACAAAGGUAACAGUAAACCUAAUGCUAGUUAGGUCAACUCUGCCUAGAGUUAUUUAGGUGGUGAGGGGGUGUUUGGGGGGAUGGGAGGCAUCAUACAGAACAACUCCCUGUCAGAGUCUUUGUGCUUCACUCUUACUAUAACAAGGAUCGUCAGGGGCAGGACAUGCGAGCCUGCCUUUGCAGAAGAAAGGAGGUCACAGAGUUCCAGCUCAGGCAUGGUUAGUACCCAUCAAAAGCUACCAGCGAAUAGGAAGCUUCGGCUAUGACAUCAUCCACAAAUGAGGACAAUUUUCUUCUCAGAGCAAUAGAAUCACAGACCCUUGACUGAGCUUUAAUCAGCACAUUUGUAGUGAAUAAAGAAAGACACAGUAAUCACCAAUUGAUUGUCCCUAUCAUUUUAG